AUCCAGCUGAUGAGUCUAAAAUAGGGCGAAACACGCGUCCUGGAU
rnacentral:hammerhead_ribozyme from 1 species